rnacentral:tRNA from 1 species
GUCUCUUUAGCUCAGUGGCAUAAGCGCCUGCCUUGCAAGCAGGCAGUCGUGAGUUCGAUCCUCGGUACCGAUA